rnacentral:rRNA from 1 species
GAUGAACGCUGGCGGCGUGCCUAAUACAUGCAAGUCGAGCGAACAGACGAGGAGCUUGCUCCUUUGACGUUAGCGGCGGACGGGUGAGUAACACGUAGGUAACCUACCUAUAAGACUGGGAUAACUUCGGGAAACCGGAGCUAAUACCGGAUAAUAUUUCGAACCGCAUGGUUCGAUAGUGAAAGAUGGCUUUGCUAUCACUUAUAGAUGGACCUGCGCCGUAUUAGCUAGUUGGUAAGGUAACGGCUUACCAAGGCAACGAUACGUAGCCGACCUGAGAGGGUGAUCGGCCACACUGGAACUGAGACACGGUCCAGACUCCUACGGGAGGCAGCAGUAGGGAAUCUUCCGCAAUGGGCGAAAGCCUGACGGAGCAACGCCGCGUGAGUGAUGAAGGUCUUCGGAUCGUAAAACUCUGUUAUUAGGGAAGAACAAACUUGUAAUUAACUGUGCACGUCUUGACGGUACCUAAUCAGAAAGCCACGGCUAACUACGUG